GAUCCUGCCUCAGGAUGAACGCUAGCUACAGGCCUAACACAUGCAAGUCGAGGGGCAGCAUGGUCUUAGCUUGCUAAGGCCGAUGGCGACCGGCGCACGGGUGAGUAACGCGUAUCCAACCUGCCUUACACUCUUGGACAGCCUUCUGAAAGGGAGAUUAAUACAAGAUGUUAUCAUGAGUAAGCAUUUUCGCAUGAUUAAAGGUUUACCGGUGUAAGAUGGGGAUGCGUUCCA
rnacentral:rRNA from 1 species